CCUACGGGGGGCUGCAGUGGGGAAUAUUGCACAAUGGGCGCAAGCCUGAUGCAGCCAUGCCGCGUGUGUGAAGAAGGCCUUCGGGUUGUAAAGCACUUUCAGCGGGGAGGAAGGCGGUGAGGUUAAUAACCUCAUCGAUUGACGUUACCCGCAGAAGAAGCACCGGCUAACUCCGUGCCAGCAGCCGCGGUAAUACGGAGGGUGCAAGCGUUAAUCGGAAUUACUGGGCGUAAAGCGCACGCAGGCGGUCUGUCAAGUCGGAUGUGAAAUCCCCGGGCUCAACCUGGGAACUGCAUUCGAAACUGGCAGGCUAGAGUCUUGUAGAGGGGGGUAGAAUUCCAGGGGUAGCGGUGAAAUGCGUAGAGAUCUGGAGGAAUACCGGUGGCGAAGGCGGCCCCCUGGACAAAGACUGACGCUCAGGUGCGAAAGCGUGGGGAGCAAACAGGAUUAGAUACCCUAGUAGUC
rnacentral:rRNA from 1 species